rnacentral:tRNA from 2 species
GGGCCCGUAGCUUAGUAAGGUAGAGCACCCGGCUCUUAACCGGGGGGUCGCGGGUUCGAAUCCCGCCGGGCCCG